AACGAACGCUGGCGGCAUGCCUAACACAUGCAAGUCGAACGAGACCUUCGGGUCUAGUGGCGCACGGGUGCGUAACGCGUGGGAACCUGCCCUUAGGUUCGGAAUAACUCCCCGAAAGGGGUGCUAAUACCGGAUAAUGUCUUCGGACCAAAGAUUUAUCGCCUUUGGAUGGGCCCGCGUUGGAUUAGCUAGUUGGUAGGUAAAAGCCUACCAAGGCGACGAUCCAUAGCUGGUCUGAGAGGAUGAUCAGCCACACUGGGACUGAGGCACGGCCCAGACUCCUACGGGAGGCAGCAGUGGGGAAUAUUGGACAAUGGGCGAAAGCCUGAUCCAGCAAUGCCGCGUGAGUGAUGAAGGCCUUAGGGUUGUAAAGCUCUUUUACCCGGGAUGAUAAUGACAGUACCGGGAGAAUAAGCUCCGGCUAACUCCGUG
rnacentral:rRNA from 1 species